AUACGAAGGGGGCUAGCGUUGUUCGGAAUUACUGGGCGUAAAGCGCGCGUAGGCGGAUUGGUCAGUUAGGGGUGAAAUCCCAGGGCUUAACCCUGGAACUGCCUCUAAUACUGCCAGUCUUGAGUUCUGGAGAGGUGAGUGGAAUUCCUAGUGUAGAGGUGAAAUUCGUAGAUAUUAGGAAGAACACCAGUGGCGAAGGCGGCUCACUGGCCCGAUACUGACGCUGAGGCGCGAAAGCGUGGGGAGCAAACAGGAUUAGAAACCCUAGUAGUCC
rnacentral:rRNA from 1 species